rnacentral:rRNA from 1 species
UGCGAACGGGUGAGUAACGCGUAGGUAACCUGCCUGGUAGCGGGGGAUAACUAUUGGAAACGAUAGCUAAUACCGCAUAAGAGUAGAUGUUGCAUGACAUUUGCUUAAAAGGUGCAAUUGCAUCACUACCAGAUGGACCUGCGUUGUAUUAGCUAGUCGGUGGGGUAACGGCUCACCAAGGCGACGAUACAUAGCCGACCUGAGAGGGUGAUCGGCCACACUGGGACUGAGACACGGCCCAGACUCCUACGGGAGGCAGCAGUAGGGAAUCUUCGGCAAUGGACGGAAGUCUGACCGAGCAACGCCGCGUGAGUGAAGAAGGUUUUCGGAUCGUAAAGCUCUGUUGUAAGAGAAGAACGAGUGUGAGAGUGGAAAGUUCACACUGUGACGGUAUCUUACCAGAAAGGGACGGCUAACUACGUGCCAGCAGCCGCGGUAAUACGUAGGUCCCGAGCGUUGUCCGGAUUUAUUGGGCGUAAAGCGAGCGCAGGCGGUUAGAUAAGUCUGAAGUUAAAGGCUGUGGCUUAACCAUAGUACGCUUUGGAAACUGUUUAACUUGAGUGCAAGAGGGGAGAGUGGAAUUCCAUGUGUAGCGGUGAAAUGCGUAGAUAUAUGGAGGAA